AACGUAGGAGGCGAGCGUUAUCCGGAUUUACUGGGUGUAAAGCGCGUGCAGGUGGUUUGGUAAGUUGGAUGUGAAAGCUCCUGGCUUAACUGGGAGAGGUCGUUCAAUACUACCAGACUUGAGGAUGAGAGAGGAAGGUGGAAUUCCGGGUGUAGUGGUGAAAUGCGUAGAUAUCCGGAGGAACACCAGUGGCGAAAGCGGCCUUCUGGCUCAUCACUGACACUCAGACGCGAAAGCUAGGGGAGCGAACGGG
rnacentral:rRNA from 1 species